AGUAAAGUGUCUGAUUUAGGAGAUAAAUUGUAAAUUUAUUUAAGAAUUUAUUAUAAUUCUUUUACUA
rnacentral:tRNA from 1 species